GGGCGUUGCAGGGCCUGAGUUCUCGAAGGUGUCUGUCUGGGAUGCAGAAGAGGAAGCAGUGGCUCUCUACAGAAUAUCCCAAACAGCGUUCCACUAACUUAAAUGCAAAUCAGUCCUGAAGCUGCAGGGUAUCAUGAGACUCCACAACAGUCCCUGUAUUUAAGCAUGGUUUCAGGUGCUCCAGAAGAAGGUAGAAACAUGACACUUCACCUGGAUGCUGCCUCAAGAUUGAGAAACCAGAAGCUGCGGGUGCUGAACAUGGCACACUGUGUUAACUUCUGGAGUGAUCUGUGUAAAACUUUCAGCCCUGACACAUGGUUGCA